AUUGAACGCUGGCGGCAGGCCUAACACAUGCAAGUCGGGCGGAUGAAGGGAGCUUGCUCCUGGAUUCAGCGGCGGACGGGUGAGUAAUGCCUAGGAAUCUGCCUGGUAGUGGGGGAUAACGUCCGGAAACGGGCGCUAAUACCGCAUACGUCCUGAGGGAGAAAGUGGGGGAUCUUCGGACCUCACGCUAUCAGAUGAGCCUAGGUCGGAUUAGCUAGUUGGUGGGGUAAAGGCCUACCAAGGCGACGAUCCGUAACUGGUCUGAGAGGAUGAUCAGUCACACUGGAACUGAGACACGGUCCAGACUCCUACGGGAGGCAGCAGUGGGGAAUAUUGGACAAGGGGCGAAAGCCUGAUCCAGCAAUGCCGCGUGUGUGAAGAAGGUCUUCGGAUUGUAAAGCACUUUAAGUUGGGAGGAAGGGCAGUAAGUUAAUACCUUGCUGUUUUGACGUUACCAACAGAAUAAGCACCGGCUAACUUCGUG
rnacentral:rRNA from 1 species